rnacentral:tRNA from 1 species
GUCAGGGUGGCCGAGCGGUCCAAGGCGCUGUCUUAAGGUCGCAGUCUGCCCCGGAGACGUGGGUUCAAAUCCCACCCCUGACA